rnacentral:rRNA from 1 species
CCCUUAGAUGUCCGGGGCCGCACGCGCGCUACACUGAAGGAAUCAGCGUGGCUUUCUCCCUGACCCGAAAGGGUUGGGAAACCCGUUGAAUCUCCUUCGUGAUAGGGAUUGGGGCUUGAAAUUGUUCCCCAUGAACGAGGAAUUCCCAGUAAGCGCGAGUCAUAAGCUCGCGUUGAUUACGUCCCUGCCCUUUGUACACACCGCCCGUCGCUACUACCGAUUGAACGGUUUAGUGAGGGCCUCGGAUUGGUCUCGGCCCGCUCUUUACCGGGCGGCGCCGUUGGUCGAGAAGACGCUCGAACUUGAUCGUUUAGAGGAAGUAAAAGUGGUAACA